GCCCCCGUAGCGCAAUCGGUAGCGCACCAGCCUUCUACCUCUUCUCCCUGAUAGCUGGGGGUUGCGAGUUCGAGCCUCGCCGGGGGUU